rnacentral:rRNA from 1 species
GGGACGAACGCUGGCGGCGUGCUUAACACAUGCAAGUCACGGGGGCUCGCAAGAGCAACCGGCGAACGGGUGCGUAACACGUGAGCAACCUGCCUUUGUGUGGGGGAUAGCCGGGCUAACGCCCGGGUAAUACCGCAUACGGUUCCCGCGAGGAGUCUCGUGGGAAAGAAACCUCCGGGGCACAGAGAGGGGCUCGCGGCCUAUCAGCUAGUUGGCGGGGUAAUGGCCCACCAAGGCGACGACGGGUAGCU